rnacentral:lncRNA from 1 species
AGGAUUCUAAUUCUAUUCUCCUAUAGAAUAGAAUUCUCCUGAUUCUUUCUAUUCUCCCUAUUUCUCCAUGUGCCACCAGUAUGAAUUUUGAUCACAUGAUGAUUUCAAGUUUGAUAACUCCUAAUAGUCAGUGACCACCUCCUGCACAGGGGCAGACAAGUGCUGAGCAUUCUGAUCUAGAGUGGUACAAAGCAGCAUGGAGAGCAUACACGUUCAGAAGCUCGUGGGGCUGCUCCUGCCCUCUGGCUGGGACCACUUCUCCUCACUCACCAUCCUGGGCGUCUGGGCUCUGGCCAUGCAGGGAGCAUCCCAAGUCCCGCCACGUCUGGAAAGGAAGGAUGGAGUCUCCUUUGUCCGCUUCUGCUCUUGGAGAGGGAAUCCCGACUGUCCUUCACGGACCAGAGAAUGUCAAGACUUGCCCAUCUCUCUCUCUGUUUGCUACCCCACGAUUGCAAGAUGACAGCAGCCACCAAAUCCCCCUGCUUCCUCAUCCACAUUGGACCAAGGCCUGAGAUUUGAGCAGAUGGAACACCGCUGGGCCAACCCCAGUGACCAGGAGAAUGGCCCGCUCCGAGGUCAUGAUUUACCUGACGUGCCCACUGUCCCAGGGGCUCUUGGAAUCCUGGAGCUGAGGGUGGAGUCCCUACCGCCCACACGGCU